GACGAACGCUGGCGGCGUGCUUAACACAUGCAAGUCGAACGGGCCUGUCUUCUUUUUUGGGGGGGGGUUGAGUGGCGAACGGGUGAGUAUCACGUGAGUAACCUGCCCUUCGGUCCUGGAUAACCGCUUGAAAGGGCGGCUAAUACGGGGUGGUCCGGUUGGUCCGCAUGGGCUGGUCGGGAUAGAUUCACUGUUUUUGGUGUUUCGGCGGGGGAUGGGCUCGCGGCCUAUCAGCUUGUUGGUGGGGGGAUGGCCUACCAAGGCGGUGACGGGUAGCCGGCCUGGGAGGGUGGGCGGCCACACUGGGACGGAGAUACGGCCCAGACUCCUGCGGGAGGCAGCAGUGGGGGGUAUUGCACAAUGGGCGGAAGCCUGAUGCAGCGACGUCGCGUGAGGGAUGGAGGCCUUCGGGUUGUGAACCUCUGUUUCCGGUGGUGAAGGCCCUGUCCGUGUGGUGGGGUUGACGGUAGCCGGGGAUGAAGCGCCGGCUAACUACGUG
rnacentral:rRNA from 1 species